rnacentral:rRNA from 1 species
UACGUAGGGUGCAAGCGUUGUCCGGAAUUAUUGGGCGUAAGGAGCUCGUAGGCGGUCUGUCGCGUCUGCUGUGAAAACCCGGGGCUCAACCCCGGGCUUGCAGUGGAUACGGGCAGACUAGAGUUCGGUAGGGGAGACUGGAAUUCCUGGUGUAGCGGUGAAAUGCGCAGAUAUCAGGAGGAACACCGGUGGCGAAGGCGGGUCUCUGGGCCGAUACUGACGCUGAGGAGCGAAAGCGUGGGGAGCGAACAGG